UUACUCCUACGGGACGCAGCAGUGGGGGAUAUUGCACAAUGGGGGGAACCCUGAUGCAGCGACGCCGCGUGGGUGAAGAAGCGCCUCGGCGCGUAAAUCCCUGUCAGCAGGGAAGAAAAUGACGGUACCUGAAGAAGAAGCCCCGGCUAACUCCGUGCCAGCAGCCGCGGUAAUACGGAGGAUGCGAGCGUUAUCCGGAUUUAUUGGGUUUAAAGGGUGCGUAGGCGGGCUUUUAAGUCAGCGGUAAAAAUUCGGGGCUCAACCCCGUCCGGCCGUUGAAACUGGGGGCCUUGAGUGGGCGAGAG
rnacentral:rRNA from 1 species